GUCCAAUGAGUCAAGUGGUGUACUCUAAAGAAAAAAAAUCUAAUUAAUUUAACCACCUAAAAUAGCUUUUCCUUUUCCUUUUUGGGAUUUAUCACCCUAAACUACAAUACAUAAAUCCCAAAAAGGAAAAAAACUAUUUUACGUGGGUAUAUUAGACUUUUUUCUUUAGAGUACACCACUUAACUCAUUGGACU
rnacentral:pre_miRNA from 1 species